rnacentral:rRNA from 1 species
UACGGAGGGUGCGAGCGUUGUCCGGAAUCACUGGGCGUAAAGGGCGCGUAGGCGGCCCGUUAAGUUGCCGGUGAAACCCCGGGGCUCAACUCCGGGAAGUCUGGUAAGACUGGCGGGCUCGAGCACGGUAGAGGCAGAUGGAAUUCCCGGUGUAGCGGUGGAAUGCGUAGAGAUCGGGAAGAACACCAGUGGCGAAGGCGGUCUGCUGGGCCGUUGCUGACGCUGAGGCGCGACAGCGUGGGGAGCAAACAGG